rnacentral:misc_RNA from 1 species
AUUGUCAAAGAGAGGUACUGCUAUAGGAUACCUGAUAACUACCCCCUAGCUCUGGCAGCACCUUUGUUAUGUGCAGGAAUCACAGUGUUCACUCCCAUGAUGCGCCAUAAGAUGAACCAGCCUGGUAAAUCACUUGGUGUCAUUGGGUUGGGUGGCCUUGGCCAUAUGGCAGUGAAGUUUGGAAAAGCUUUUGGUUUGAAUGUUACGGUUUUUAGCACGAGCCCAUCCAAGAAAGAUGAAGCCCUGAAACUCCUUGGAGCAGAUAAAUUUGUGAUAUCGUCGGACCAGCAGCAAAUGGAGGCAGCGGCCAACUCCCUGGAUUUCAUCAUUGAUAGCGCUUCCGGUGAUCACCCCUUCGAUCCUUAUAUGUCACUCUUGAAGGUUUUCGGUACAAUGGUCCUAGUGGGUUUUCCUAGUGAAGUCCGACUAAGUCCCGCAAGCCUUAAUAUCGGUGCGAAAACUAUUUCCGGGAGUUUAACUGGUGGUACCAAACUGACACAAGAA